rnacentral:lncRNA from 1 species
CGGCGAGCCGCGGUUCCAGCGCCGGCCGCGGCGGUGGCGGCAGCUGGGCCUCCGCGGAGCGAGCUGCCCGGUGCGCAUGCGCGCCGCCGCCCCCGCCCCCGGCCGGCGGCUUAAAUCAUCCUCCGCCGAGGACCAGGGGCAGCAGCUGGCGGACCCGCGGGCUCAGUGGCCCGCGCCUCCAGCCCUGUCACUCACAGCUCCCGCAGUGUGGUUUCGGGUUUGCUUGUAUCUGGGCUCGCAAUGGAACAUCCAGGCAACGAUUAAGUCAGUGGCAAGAUGACAACUAAGAGACACCCAAAGGGAGAGAAGCCCAGCCUCCUUCAUGAAGGUGUUGCUGGAGGAUCCAAUCUGAUUCUCUACAUCUUCACCAUCUGCUCCCAGCCUGUUUCUCCAGUUUAUCUUCUACCACUACCCACCUUGUGCUUCACAUUUCAGAAAUAUGGAGAGCUGUCUUCCCCUGCCAACACUUGUUUUUGCUUGUGUUUCUGAGACAUCUUGCUUCUUUCCUUGGCUAGUGUCAAGUCCUAUGCCAUCUAGCCAUCUAAUCUAUGAAGACUGUCAUUUCUUCUAAGACACUUGGUUCUUGGUCACCCAGUUCUCCAUGCUCUAUGCUUUCUUUGAUUUUGUAAAUUUUUAUGACUGCUGAGCAACUCUGAGUUAUACCAGUCAUUCCAUAGACUACAGAGUGGGAUGUCACAACACGUCUGGCUUAUCUAUCACCAUUAGAUUUCAUCCUCUUAAAGGACAAGAAGAUCAUUUACUUGUUUAAAUCUCAAGGAACUCACACCAGGAUCCUUCUCCCUUUUCCCUUGCCUCUAUCCAUCUCCACUCACCUGCCUGCCAACACAAUCACUCCUAAAAAAUAAUUCUCCUUCUUGGAUAAUUUAAGCAUAAAAUACAGUGACAGAUAAGCAAACUUCAAUUCCAUGCAAUUAGUGUAAAUCUCCCUCAAACUGAAUUUACCCAAUUAAACCUGUUCUAGUGAUUUUAUGACACAGUUGGAGUGAUUAAAGAACAAGUCAAUGGCCUUUCUGUACACAAAGAAUAAACAGGCUGAGAAAGAAAUUAGGGAAACAACA